GAGAGGAAGUCGGAGAACAGAUUUAAACCAAGUUUGAAGUAUUGCUUCUGUUUGUCAGUGCUGUGAGAAAACGUCGAUACUGAAGAGGUCUGGAUGCUAAAACAAACUCUGGAGCUGCUUUUUCCCAAACACGAGUGAGACUGGACGCUGAACAAACCUGUGGCGUGAAGGUGUCACCACUUUGUCCAUGAAUGCAGUCUUUGUACAAUGGAGAAGUUGUUAGAGACCAGGACAGAGGCCUCCAGGUGUCACCACUUCAUCCACAACAUCACCUAUGAUCACAGAGGCAUUAUCCACGAUCGCAGAGACAUGGUCCAUGAUUGGAGAGACAUUGUUGAGGAUGAGGGAGACAUCGUCCACGAUCAGAAAUGUUGCCUAUGAUUGCAGAGUCCUUGUCAAAGAUGAGAGAGAUGUUGUCCAUUAUCAGAGACAUUGUCCCUGACUUGUAGAGACUGGGGUCACCGAUUUGACGGCAUCGCCUGCGAUCAGGGAGACACCAUCGAAGAUCACAGAGACAUUGUCUGUUCCUUACUAUACUAUAACAAAUUUUUUUACUGUUUUUGACUCAUUAUACUAUGACAUUUUUUGACCAUUUUUGACAGCCUUACUAUACUAUGACAUUUUUUGACCAUUUUUGAUGUCUAGCUAUAAUAUGAA